GUGAGGAAUAUUGGUCAAUGGGCGCAGGCCUGAACCAGCCAAGUAGCGUGAAGGAUGACUGCCCUAUGGGUUGUAAACUUCUUUUAUAUGGGAAUAAAGUUUUCCACGUGUGGAAUUUUGUAUGUACCAUAUGAAUAAGGAUCGGCUAACUCCGUGCCAGCAGCCGCGGUAAUACGGAGGAUCCGAGCGUUAUCCGGAUUUAUUGGGUUUAAAGGGAGCGUAGGUGGACAGUUAAGUCAGUUGUGAAAGUUUGCGGCUCAACCGUAAAAUUGCAGUUGAUACUGGCUGUCUUGAGUACAGUAGAGGUGGGCGGAAUUCGUGGUGUAGCGGUGAAAUGCUUAGAUAUCACGAAGAACUCCGAUUGCGAAGGCAGCUCACUGGACUGCAACUGACACUGAUGCUCGAAAGUGUGGGUAUCAAACAGGA
rnacentral:rRNA from 1 species